rnacentral:rRNA from 1 species
UACGGAGGGUGCAAGCGUUAUCCGGAUUCACUGGGUUUAAAGGGUGCGUAGGUGGGUCUGUAAGUCAGUGGUGAAAUCUCCAAGCUUAACUUGGAAACUGCCGUUGAUACUAUAGCUCUUGAAUGUUGUGGAGGUGAGCGGAAUAUGUCAUGUAGCGGUGAAAUGCUUAGAUAUGACAUAGAACACCAAUUGCGAAGGCAGCUCACUACACAAAGAUUGACACUGAGGCACGAAAGCGUGGGGAUCAAACAGG